GCCCAAGUAGCUCAGAGGUAGAGCAACGCCUUGGUAAGGCGUAGGUCAUGGGUUCAAUUCCCAUCUUGGGCUCCA
rnacentral:tRNA from 1 species